rnacentral:tRNA from 1 species
AAAGGGAGACCUAAUUCAGGUAUGGGACGAAAAAAAAGUAGUCCCUACCAAGAAUCAAUCCCAAAAGGUCGGAACGAGGUGUGUGGCUUUCAAACUAGGUUCUGGGUUCAUAAAAGACCUGAAUCAGGAACAAGGGCUAUUAGCUCAGGUGGUUAGAGCGCACCCCUGAUAAGGGUGAGGUCCCUGGUUCGAGUCCAGGAUGGCCCACCUGCACAGGUGGCAAAAACAAGAGAAGCUCCGAAUCAGCACCUUAUCUUACUGACAUAGUAAGAGAGAAUGCUGGCUCUGAGUAAAGAGUCCAGAGGAACCUUGAAAACUGCAUAGAGCUAGGUGAAAAAGCCAAAAAAGAAGACCGCAAG